AGUCACCUCAGAAGGUCUGUCCUUAAUGUUAUAAAUUCACAGGCUCCUCCCCUAGGGUUGCCAGAUUUAGCAAAUAAACAUACUGGAUGCCCAGCUGAACUUGAAUUUCAGAUGAACAAAGUAAUAUUGCAUGUGACAAAUUUACACAAAAAAGGAUUUUUUGUUUAUUUUAAAUUCAAAUGUAAAUGGUUUAAAUAUAAUCUGGUAACCCUACACAUGGAGGGAUCUGCAGGGGAACCAAGGUGCUCCAGUCAACCAGCGCAGCUGAGCCCCUAGCAGAAGCCAGAACCCAUGCUCAUCCAUGUGAGGGAGCUCUCUCAGAUGUACCAGCCUAACGGAGCCUCCAGCUGAUGGCAGCCCCAGACGAGGCUCCACUGCAGUCGUGCUUGUGAAGGGAUGGAGAGGUAUUGCUACAAACUGCUCCCUGCGGCCCAUGGAAAGCCGUGUCCUCAGAAGGUGGCUUGCUCCUCAUGCUGGUGGCCUUGCUCAUAUCAGGUGUCUGAAGGAGGCAGGUUCUGAGCAUCUGUGUCCUGAUGACUGCUGGAGCUUCUACUCCAGGUUCAAGGGCAGGAGAGCCCAACACUUCACAUCUUUCUUUGGAUAUGCCGCCUGGCUCAAGGAGACAGCAGAUGGCUGCAGUCCUGGUGUGAUGUGGCUGGAUGAUGCAUGAUCUGAGGACCCCUGCACUGGUGAAUGUGGGCUAUUCACCGCAAUGAAUUACUGGGAUCUUGAGUGGGGAGAGGAGGAGAAGAAGAGAGCAUGUAUGUAUAUGG